GGCAGAAUGGCUGAGUAUAGGCAGUAGGCUGUAAACUUACUUACGAAUUUUAUUCUUUUGCC
rnacentral:tRNA from 1 species